CUGUUAAAUUUUCAUCUAUUUGUAGUAUUAAAAAUUGGCGUGGUUGGUAAAAUAAUUAGAUGGUGACAAGUGGUGUGCCACUAUCCCUCCGACUUAUGUACAAUAACAGUUUUUAACAAUAGAAAUGAAUGAAAUUUUUAAGA
rfam:Gossypium raimondii Chr01_contig_10, whole genome shotgun sequence.